UUAAAAAGUAUUAAGAAGUAAUCAUGAUAUAACUGGGUCAAAUGUGGAUAGCAGAAACUACAAGAAAAGCAAGAUACUCAAUCCAUCAGUCAUGAUAUAAAGACUACGCUUAAAAUAAUGAAUAAUAU
rnacentral:lncRNA from 1 species